rnacentral:rRNA from 1 species
UGGGGAAUUUUGGACAAUGGGCGAAAGCCUGAUCCAGCAAUGCCGCGUGUGUGAAGAAGGCCUUCGGGUUGUAAAGCACUUUUGUCCGGAAAGAAAUCCUUGGCUCUAAUACAGUCGGGGGAUGACGGUACCGGAAGAAUAAGCACCGGCUAACUACGUGCCAGCAGCCGCGGUAAUACGUAGGGUGCAAGCGUUAAUCGGAAUUACUGGGCGUAAAGCGUGCGCAGGCGGUUUGCUAAGACCGAUGUGAAAUCCCCGGGCUAACCUGGGAACUGCAUUGGUGACUGGCAGGCUAGAGUAUGGCAGAGGGGGGUAGAAUUCCACGUGUAGCAGUGAAAUGCGUAGAGAUGUGGAGGAAUACCGAUGGCGAAGGCAGCCCCCUGGGCAAUACUGACGCUCAUGCACGAAAGCGUGGGGAGCAAACAGGAUUAGAUACCCUGGUAGUCCACGCCCUAAAACGAUGUCAACUAGUUGUUGGGGAUUCAUUUCCUUAGUAACGUAGCUAACGCGUGAAGUUGACCGCCUGGGGAGUACGGUCGCAAGAUUAAAACUCAAAUGAAUUGACGGGGUCAUAGCUGUUUCCU